GGAUGGGAACUUCUUGCCUGAUACUGGUAUGAGUGUCAGCACAUUUUGGAGGAUGUCUUAUGCGGCAUCUGAUGCAGUUUGCAAACGCGAGAGGAUGGGGACCCCACAGAGCAGAUUUUGAAUCAUCUUCCAUCAAUAUACUAUAAUUUCCACUAGCUGGAAUGGAAAUUUGCCAUGAACAAUGGAAAAUGGGAGCAACUUUCAGGACCCACAAGGCCAAGGUGAGCACUUGCCUGCGUUGGUGUGAGGCUGUCACCCAGCCGUGGCCCUGCUGCCUGCUCUGACUCUGCUGAGCCCUGCAGCCCUGCAUGGCAGCUGCUGGCAUUGAGGAAGGAAGAUGUGAAGACCAGCAGAGAAGCAGUUACUUUCAGAUGAUCUGGAUAUAUUUUCCCAGAAGCACUUCCUGCCCUCUUCCACAUAGCAGCAGCAGCAGAGCAGUUGUGCUAAGGAGUUUUCUCUUCCUCUUUCCUCAUUCCCAUACCCAGCCUUACCUUUAUCCUCAUUCUGCUGCUUCUCCAAUACCUUCAU